rnacentral:rRNA from 1 species
UUGACCUCGAAUCAGGUAGGAAUACCCGCUGAACUUAAGCAUAUCAAUAAGCGGAGGAAAAGAAACCAACCGGGAUUACCUYAGUAACGGCKAGUGAWGCGGUAACAGCUCAAAUUUGAAAUCUGGCUCCUUCGGAGUCCGAGUUGUAAUUUGUAGAAGAUGCUUUGGGUUGUGGGCUCGGCCUAAGUUCCUUGGAACAGGACGUCAUAGAGGGUGAGAAUCCCGUAUGUGGCCAUGGCCCGCGCCUAUGUAAAGCUCUUUCGACGAGUCGAGUUGUUUGGGAAUGCAGCUCAAAAUGGGUGGUAAAUUUCAUCUAAAGCUAAAUAUGGGCCAGAGACCGAUAGCGCACAAGUAGAGUGAUCGAAAGAUGAAAAGCACUUUGGAAAGAGAGUUAAACAGUACGUGAAAUUGUUGAAAGGGAAGCGCUUGCAACCAGACUUGGGCGCUGCCGAUCACCCCGAGUUCUCUCGGGUGCACUCGACAGCGCACAGGCCAGCAUCGGUUCGGGUGGCUGGAUAAAGGCCGUAGGAAUGUAGCUCUCUUCGGGGAGUGUUAUAGCCCACGGUGCCAUGCAGCCCAGCCGGACCGAGGACCGCGCCUUCGGGCUAGGAUGCUGGCGUAAUGGUUGUAAGCGACCCGUCUUGAAACACGGACCAAGGAGUCUAACAUCUAUGCGAGUGUUUGGGCGUUAAACCCAUACGCGGAAUGAAAGUGAACGUAGGUGAGAACCCCUUUGGGGCGCAUCAUCGACCGAUCCUGAUGUCUUCGGAUGGAUUUGAGUAAGAGCAUAGC